rnacentral:rRNA from 1 species
GACAGAGGGUGCAAACGUUGUUCGGAUUUACUGGGCGUAAAGAGCGUGUAGGCGGCCAAGCAGGUCCGUUGUGAAACUGGAGGCUUAACCUCCAGACGUCGACGGAAACCGCGUGGCUAGAGUCCGGAAGAGGAGAGUGGAAUUCCUGGUGUAGCGGUGAAAUGCGCAGAUAUCAGGAAGAACACCCGUGGCGAAAGCGGCUCUCUGGAACGGUACUGACGCUGAGACGCGAAAGCGUGGGGAGCGAACAGG